CAUUAAAGAGUUCUAUAACUCCCAAACCCAUGUGAACAUACCUAACGUUGCCUCGGCAGGUCGCACCUACCUUGUAGCACCCUACCCUGUAGGGCCUACCCGGGAGGUGCGGGUAAGCCUGCCGGCGGCCCACCAAACUCUGUUUGAUAUUGAAUUCUGAACCUAUAACUAAAUAAGUUAAAACUUUCAACAACGGAUCUCUUGGUUCUGGCAUCGAUGAAGAACGCAGCGAAAUGCGAUAAGUAAUGUGAAUUGCAGAAUUCAGUGAAUCAUCGAAUCUUUGAACGCAUAUUGCGCCCAUUAGUAUUCUAGUGGGCAGGACCGUUCGAGCGUCAUUUCAGCCCUUAAGCCUUCGUUGCUUAGUGUUGGGAGCCUACGGCAACGUAGCUCCUCAAAGUUAGUGGCGGAGUUGGUUCACACUCUAGACGUAGUAAUUUUUUAUCUCGCCUAUUAGUUGGACUAAUCCCCUGCCGUAAAACCCCCAAUUUAUCAAGGUUGACCUCGAAUCGGUUCAGACAAACUCGCUAAAUUGAAGCAUCUUAGUCAGCGAAGGAAAAGAAACCAACAGGGAUUGCCCUAGUAACGGCGAGUGAAGCGGCAACAGCUCAAAUUUGAAAUCUGGCCCUCGGGUCCGAGUUG
rnacentral:rRNA from 1 species